GACAGAGGAUGCAAGCGUUAUCCGGAAUGAUUGGGCGUAAAGCGUCUGUAGGUGGCUUUUUAAGUCCGCCGUCAAAUCCCAGGGCUCAACCCUGGACAGGCGGUGGAAACUACCAAGCUGGAGUACGGUAGGGGCAGAGGGAAUUUCCGGUGGAGCGGUGAAAUGCGUAGAUAUUCGGAAGAACACCAGUGGCGAAAGCGGACUUCUGGGUUGUUACUGACGCUGAGGUACGAAAGCAUGGGGAGCAAACGGG
rnacentral:rRNA from 1 species